CGAGUGGUCGCUAAUGGCGGACGGUGGAGGUGGUGUUCCUGGCGCAUUUGUGAUUUCACUCUAAAUAGGAAGGAAUCGGCGCUGGAUUGUUACACAACUGUUGCACCAGUGAAGGAUGUCUGUGUGCCGCCUUGCAUUCAGUUUCUCAGCCAUGGGGGCCUGCUUGCAACACCAGUGGAAAAGCAGUCUUGCAUUGUGCUAUUUGUUCUGGAAGGACACAAGCAUUGAGGAGCCAUUUGACCUGCCACUACACUGAUAUUGUAUUUGGUAGGUUCUAUUACAGGUUUUCUUUCAUGUAGUAGUACCUGCUAUAAUUGUGUAUAAUGUGUUCAGACCCUUAGUCAGCAGGCUGUUUGACAACAGGUAUUUACAAAUGAAGAACUAACAAGAUUUUCAAGGUCAUUAGUGAUACAAUUGUUGCACACUGCUGAAUUUUCCCGCAAAUUAAAUUAUGAGCCAUCCAGCAACUGCUGCUCUCCUGCCUUAAUGCACAAACCUUCAAAUACUGUUACCCCUAUCUCACAAGUGUACAGAAGGUGCAGAUGACUGUUCACAGCGACAAGGUCAUAAUUUUUACUUACAUGCAAAAGUGAGUCGAACGUCAGGUACACAUUUGAACUUUUCCAAAACAAGUUCGUCAUCAUAGUGCACAAAUGCACAUGUAACUUACCGCAAUAAAAAUACACGGGCACAAGAAAGGGAGACAAAGACAAGCGCUUCGUGACUCAGAAGUGCGUGACAUAAGUGUUCCGACCAAUUAUUAUUCCCUAAAUUUUCUUCUACUGAUCCAGGACUCCUGUGACUACUUGCCUUAGGUAACAUACACUGUUGCCUUCUUGCCCUAGAAAACAUAACUAGUGCCUUCUUGCAGCCCUUUAAACUGGCAACAUCUUCACCACCGACAGUAGAGCAUGUUCAGAUAAAUUCAACUAGACAUGCCUGGUGACCACUUAAUUUUGGUGAACAAAUUUUAUUUGGUGCCCGAGCCUGACGACAAUGAAAUCAAUGGUAUCUUCUAUUUUGUUGUAGCGUAAGCUGAACGACAGGGACAACAGAAAAGCAAAUUCGACGCACAGCCAGCGUUAACGUUCAACAACAGAUUCGUUUCCAGUUCUCGUCACUAUAUAUACCCUCAAAACAUCAUACAAAACGUGUAAAAAAUCGGUAAACAUGAACUAAAAAAAACAGGAACCACACGCAUGCAGUUUUUUAGGCACACAGAUUGACAGACAUAUACACGUUUAACGCGAACAAAGAUCGCAUCAUCUUUCACCUGCUUCUACUCAUGAUAACUGUUUUUUUAAAUCUAGGUUUGCACUUGCAUCUUUGGCAAUGGAGGGCAAGAAAACCGUCAGCAGCCAGGUAUUUAAUUUGUUAUUGUGUUCUCGUAGCCUGUCAUUUAUACAUCUACCAGUUUAACCAAUGUAGGACCAUCUACACUCAAAGGAAUGUCGUAUACAACACACGUGAUGCAAUCAAUGAAUUUGUUUUUAUGUUCCUUUUCGCAUGCAGUAUCCGCAAUUCUUUCUGGCCUUGUCUUCUUACACUGGCUCCCCAAUUUAUUAGGAGCUGGAAAAACAAUGUUGAUGUCACACCUUCCAGUAGUCUUUAUUCUGUGGGAGAAACUAUGUAUAAAGGGGAUGACAGCAACCUUUCUUUUCUUUAUGUCGGUGUUUGUACCAUCCACUUGCUCGGAACCUUUUUCCACUUGGCUCGGGUAACCAGCGCCGCUUAAAUGUGAGACUUGCCAUCCGAAGCUAUUGUGCAUUAGGUGCUGGCAUGGCUUCUACAGCGCUUCACUGAAACACACUUUCGUGAUUCCCCUCUUCGCAAGUUUUGUAUGCGUGGAAUGAAAUGGUAAAAGGGGCUUACUUGCCCUAGGUUCUUAACACCAGCAGGUUUUGUUAUCGGUGAGCACAAAAUUAAUGUCAAGGAAUCUAAUCUUCCCGCAACAUGGCUAUCCUGCACCUAAUGCACGAUAGCUUCGAAUGGCGAGUCUCACGUUUAAGCGGCUUUGGUUACCCGAGCCACGUGCUCGUGUCAGUCGCAGUAGGACUGCUUAAAAAGGCACAGCAAAAAGGUUCCGAGCAGGUAUAUCGUACAAGUACCGACAUAAAGAAAAAGAUUGCUGCCAUCCCCUACAUACAUAGUUUCUCCCACAGAUUAAAGAUUGCUGGAAGGAGUGACAUCAAUGUUGUUUUUUCGACGCCUAAUAAAUUUAUGAGGAAGUCAAGGCCAGAAAGAAUUUGGGAUACUGCAUGCGAGAAGGAACAUAAAAGCAAAUUCAUUGAUUAUAUCGUGUGUGUUGUAUACCGCAUUCCUCUUGGGUGUGGAGGGUCCUACAUUGGUCAAACUGGUAGAUGUAUAAAUAACAGGCUAUGAGAACACAAUAACAAAUUAAAUACCCUGGCUGCUGACAGUUUUCUUGUUCUUCAUUGCCAAAGAUGCAAGUGCAAACCUAGAUUCAAAAAAGCAGUUAUCAUGAACAGAAGCAGGUGCAAGAUGAUGCGCUUAACUAUAGACACUAGAAACAUAUCAACAUUUGGUGACGCAUGCAUCAGUAAGCCUUCAAUUUCAUUAUCCUCGAAAGAGCUUGUACAUCUUUGUUCGUGUUAAACGUGUACAUGUCUCAAUCUCUGUGGCUAAAAAAACUGCAUGCGUGUGGUUCCAGGUUUUCUUUAGUUCAUGUUUACCGAGCCUUUACACAUAUUAUGUUGUAUGACGUUUUGAGGGUAUAUAUAGUGACGAGAACGGGAAAUAAAUCUGUUGUUGGAAGAUAACACUGUGUGCAUGCCAAAUGUGCCUUUCUGUUGUACCUGUUGUUCAGCCUUGCGCUACAACAAAAUAAAAGAUGCCAUACAAACAAGCCCCCAUAGCUACCCUCAUCGUUAGUUUCGCAAGAAAAAGAAUUGUCUUUGAAAAUACAAUAUAGAAGCAUCUGUUCAAUUGGAAGCAUUUUUUUAAAUUUUGCUGAAUCCGCAUUUUGAAUUAUCCCAAAGAAAAAGUGUUGUGGCUAUGGCUCUAAGAAUAUUUUGGCACAGACUGCAGGCAAAUAGCAUGAAUUCCAACUAAUUACCACGGAGUAUCCCUGCUACGAUAUGAAGAAGUAAACCUUUGAAAACACAACGUUGCACAUAUGUGUGUUUUUAUCUGCAUCUAUUAGCAGCACGGAAUUUGGCCAUCCUGUUGCCAUUAAAGUCCCAGACAUUUGGGGCAAAUUGCUCUGCCCUCGUUGACUUUCAAAAUCCACGAGAAGCGCUCAUAUUUGGGCAUUGCUUUAGUUUCAGCUUUACUUUAAAUUUCUUUAGGAGAGGCGGGAUUCUUAAAAAAUUCCUAAAUUAAGCACGUCACGGAAGUAAUGCUGUCUGGAAGGACAUGUUGCAUAAUUUGUUUCGUUGUGGGGUUGCCAGUCAUGGAAUGGACAGAAUAAACGGUGUACUGCAUGUAGCUGCCACAUAUGGGGUCCAUGUGUACUUGUUGCAGGUUCCUUUACGUCGCGAAAGUGCUACAGGUUGCUUCGAAAAGCACAGACUGACAAAACGGCAAAUUUUUGGGUGAACACAGCGCAUAAUUAUAACUUUUUAAGGAGAUGGAGAUAGUAUGUUGACGCACUAACGAACAUAACUUUCAAUUAUCAUUGCUUAAGUAAAAAGUAUAUUGCACAUUGCUAUUUUCAUGACAAAACAAACCAAAUCUGAAAGAGGCUAAAAGGCGCGCAUGUUGUGGUGCAAGGCAUGCUUUCUUCAUAUUGUUACUAAUUUAUAAGCUUGUCAUCUGGACAGUACCUCUGGCUUGGUUGUUUUGCAUCGGAAUUGUACAACAUGAGUGGUUUGAGCUCGUUUCAAGAGUGCUUCAUUGUUUUUGGAAAACAGUGGAAUCUGCAAGGUUUUCUGUUAGGGCAGUGAAGGUUGAAAGCCGUGGUCCGCAGUAUGUGGUCGUGGUAGCUCUACCUACAUGCAGAAAAUGUAAUCUCUGAAUGUCAAUGUGCACGUGAGAGCUUUGCCUGUUCCAAGUGAGCCAUCAAAUGACUUGGGGAGGUUUCAUCUGAAGCUUUUCAUGUUAUAAGGCUAGGAACAUAUACCAACAAGGCAGAGUAUGACAUUUUUUUAUGACCCAUUUGUUUUGACCAGAGCACUGGUAAUUAUAUUUGUGACUUGGAAAUCAUUUAUUGUUGAUGUAUCUGACUAAAAACGGUGAUGAUGGUGGUACAGUAAACCUUGUUACAAGAGACACUCAAGAGACCUGGGAAACAUGUCGCUUGUAACCAAGGUCUCUUGUAACCAAAAAUUCUAAAAAUACUGAGGAGUCGGACUAGACCACUUUAUUAUACAUCAGCACCAAAGUGUGUUUAAACACAUCUUUGAUGCGAACAGAGCUGUCUCAUGGAAACAUGGCAAUGGCUCCGGAGUAUGACUACCGGCAUACAAAGCGACCAGCACCGCAGACGCUGUGACGGAAAUCCAACUCAAUGGUACUCUGUCGCAGAGUCGGUGUGGGAGCGCGACAGCGAUUAUAGAAGCAUAAUCGCAGAAAAUUCUGUGAAAUUGGUAGUCUCAACCAUGCGAGGAAUGACAGCCGGCUGCGGAAUGGAACAAAAUCGAGCCAAGGGAAUGAAAAUUGCAGCACAUACCGGUUAGUACGACGUUAGCCGCAUUACGUGAGCGUGUCUGGGUUGUGUCUCUUAUAAAUAGUGAAGAAUUUGCUCUAGGGACAUAAAAAAGUUGUCCUUAGUAACCGAGUGUCUCUUGUAACCAUGUCUCUUGUAUGCAAUGUUGUUAACAUGGCGAACAUAGGAAAACCAACCAAACCAUUUUCAAAUGUCUCUCAUAACCGAGUGUCUCUUGUAACAGUGUCUCUUGUAACGAGAUUUUACUAAUAAAGAGUCUUAAUUGAUUGGUGUUCUUUUCCCUUUUCAGGCAAAGCAGGAGGCAUGUGCAAGCAACUAGUCAUUCCGAUUCUCAACCAAUCCUUCUUCUAGUCAGGCCAUUUCUAGUGUCUUAUCUUGCAAGUUCUUUUUUUCAGUAAAGCACAAUAAACAUGCAGUUUCGUUCAGAUUCAGGUGGCUUGUUGCUUUUUGGGCACGAAUUUGUAUGUAUGCUUUGUACACGUCAUGUACAGAACUCAAAUGCAACAUGGCAACACUGACACGAAAAUGACGCGGUGUAAAAGACAGUUACCCAAGGAGGAAACGUGCACACACAGCAUGUUGAGCGUGGUGUAUGUCCGCUUAUGUGCAUUGAUUUCUGCCCCAUUUCAAGCUAUAUCUGAUGCGAGUUAGCCAUGUUGUUAUGUACAACUUGGUAUAACUUAUUUCAAUGAAACAAACAAUUUUCUCAUUGUCUGGACAUAUACACCCGCAUCAUCAUUUACAAAACAAAUUUUCAGCUGUUGAUACGAAGCAAGAUAAAGCUGAACAAGUUCGUACGGAUUCAUGGUGCCAGGAACGCAAGCAUAGAAAACAUGGACACAAGAAGAACAAAAAAAAGGUGCUUCUGUCUUCCUUUU